GACGAACGCUGGCGGCGUGCUUAACACAUGCAAGUCGAACGGAAAGGCCCUGCUUUUGUGGGGUGCUCGAGUGGCGAACGGGUGAGUAACACGUGAGUAACCUGCCCUUGACUUUGGGAUAACUUCAGGAAACUGGGGCUAAUACCGGAUAGGAGCUCCUGCUGCAUGGUGGGGGUUGGAAAGUUUCGGCGGUUGGGGAUGGACUCGCGGCUUAGCAGCUUGUUGGUGGGGUAGUGGCUUACCAAGGCGUUGACGGGUAGCGGGCCUGAGAGGGUGACCGGCCACACGGGAACUGAGAAAGGGUCAAGAGUCCGACGGGAGGCAGCAGUGGGGAAUAUUGGACAAUGGGCGCAAGCCUGAUCCAGCCAUACCGCGUGGGUGAAGAAGGCCUUCGGGUGGGAAAGACCUGUUGUGGGGAAAGAAAAGAAGCAGGUUAAUACCCCGCUGUUCUGACGGUACCCAAAGAAUAAGCACCGGCUAACUUCGUG
rnacentral:rRNA from 1 species